UGUUGGGGUAUGAUAUUGCUA
rnacentral:siRNA from 1 species